UACAGAGGGUGCGAGCGUUGUUCGGAAUUAUUGGGCGUAAAGAGCUCGUAGGCGGUUUGUCGCGUCGGCCGUGAAAUCUCCACGCUUAACGUGGAGCGUGCGGUCGAUACGGGCAGACUUGAGUUCGGUAGGGGAGACUGGAAUUCCUGGUGUAGCGGUGAAAUGCGCAGAUAUCAGGAGGAACACCGGUGGCGAAGGCGGGUCUCUGGGCCGAUACUGACGCUGAGGAGCGAAAGCGUGGGGAGCGAACAGG
rnacentral:rRNA from 1 species